rnacentral:lncRNA from 1 species
AGAAUCAUUAAGGACGACAAAACUCUUCAUUUAAGUAUUUAACACGAUUGUGUAUUCAGGACUCAAAUCUGAGACCUCUAAGCUGAAACAAUCUCAUAUCAGUUGAUCCUUGGUGGUGUUUAUAGUUUACUCGGUUAGUGCAUGUAUUCAAGUUUUUAUUACACAAUUGCAAAAAUAAGCCAAGUAUUGCCUACCUGACCAAUGAGGCCUGUGUCCAGCAUCCACUCCCAAGGGAUAUGGAAACUCCUAUAUCUUAUACUUGCACUCUCCCUUGUCCUCUCUGCACUGUUCACACUUCUCUCCAACCUGCACAC